AUUAGCAUCGUGCAUUUUACAUAAUCACAUAGUUGAUUUGGAUCCAAAUGACAUGAUAAUACAAAAAGUAGAUGUUGAAGCAGUAAUUCAACCUUAAAAUGUUCAAAUUACCCAAAAUCCUCAAGGAAGUCAAAGCUAUCAAACACAAAAAGAAAGACGUGAAGAAGCUAGACAAUGAUCAUAAAAAAGAGAUGCAAUUGCUCAUGCCAUGGUUAUAAAUUAUGAUAGGCGGAGGAAUGAGGGCCUUUAGUGAUUAAGAAACUUUGAUAGCUAAAUAGAUAAUGCUGCUUGUUUUUGCUUUUGAUAUUUUCUUACUUCUUCAUCUUGUUGUAGUAAUUGGGCAAAUACUGUAUGAAAGAAAUACUUCUAUGGCUUAUUAUUAUUUUUCUAUUAGCUUUGAGUGUUCUUUUUACUGCUCUUUUUCUUCUGUAUAAGUAGAGUUUACAGGUUUCUGCUAAUUUGUAUUUGUGUUCUGUUGAGUGUGAAUUGUUCACGUAGUUUCUUGACUUGUAAUAAUAAAUCACGGGGAAAAAAAGGAGAGAAGCAGUUUAGGUGGUCAAAACCAAUGGAAUAUUUGAUGUUGGAAAUUCUAGCUGAUGAAGUAAAGCAAGGGAAUAAAUCGACGAAUCAGUUUAAGGCCAGCUCAUUUAACCGUGAUUCGAAUGCCAUUAACAAAUAACUAGGAAUGAAUUGUUCAUCUAAGCAUGUGGAGAAUCAUCUUAAAACAAUAAGAAACACUUGGAUUACAAUCCAAACUCUACUAAACAAAAGUGGUCUUGGAUGGGAUGACAACUUGAAGAUGAUUACGGGUAGUCCCAAAGUCUAUGCGGUCCAUAUUCAGGCACAUCCCAAUCAUGAUAAGUUCAUCAAUAAAAAAUUUAAAAUAUUUGACGAAAUGUCUCUUGUGUGUGGAAAUGAUCGGGUUAGGGGAGAUUGUAUUAAAUCAUUUGAAGAUAUAGAUUUUGAUAGUUUUUCUGAGAAAGAUAGUGAUAAUGACCUUAAAGGACCAUCCAUCGAAAAGGAUGUGCAAGUAAUCGAAGCUUCUCAAAUCAAGGCAAGUCGCAAAAGAAAACGUUCUUUUGAGGUGCAAGAUGUCGUAAGUGAUAUAUCAAUAAAGUUUGGAGAAGUAGCAAUGGAAAUCGGUAGAAUGGUUGAUAGUCAUCUAGAUGUGACAAAGUUGUAUGAAGAAGUUAUGGCAAAGGAAGGUUAUAAAGAAGAGUUCCACGGUGAUGCUUUUGAUUAUUUGGUACAAAGCGACACUCUAGCUAAGACAUUCAUGGUCAAAAAUCAAAAUCUUCGUAAGGUGUGGUUGGAACGAUUAAAGCAACAACAAUAGUGACACCUAUUGGUUGGUUUAGCUUCAUAGGAUUUGGAAGCAACUAUUAUUCGCACGCUUUUGUUUUUUAUAAUAUAUCAUAUAUUUGCUUUCAAACUUCUCUCCGUUCUUUUAUUUUUGAUAAUGUAUCGUGUAUUUGCUUCCAAACUUCUCUCUUUUGUGCAUUUGUGGGAACUGAUUAGGAAGCUUGAAUUAUGUAAAUAAUAAUUGCUUAAAUUUUAGUUUCUUGUAAUAUUUUGAAACUCGAUAUUAGUAUUAUUUGCAAUGCUUAAAUUAGUUCCGACAGAAUGUUGAGGUGUUUGAUAUACUAGUUAAUUGUUCAGUAGUAUUUUUCAAAAAAUAUUUUCUCCUCUCACCAAUCAAACAACUAAAAAUAUUUUUUAGAAAAAUAUUUUCUAUUCAUCAACCAAACACCAUAAAAUA